UACACUCUCGAGGCAUAAUAGAACAAUAUAAUUAGGUUUUACUCUUUGUUCGAUAGAAUGAGAAAAAGUACUCAUUGCAAAGUUAUACUGUUAGGGCGCAACCGAAUAGUCUAAUGUUGUUCCGGUUUUGGUUCUUGUGAACGCUGACAUCAAUUGGUUCGAAAUUACAACUCUCGGGGCAUAAUUGAACAAUAUAAAUUAGGUUUUACUCUUUGUUCGAUAGAAUGAGAAAAAGAACUCGUCGCAAAGUUAUACUGCUAGGGGGCAACUGAGUAGUCUAAUAUUGUUCCGGUUUUGGUUCUUGUGAACGUUGACAUCGAUUCGUUCCAAAUUUACACUCUCGGGGCAUAAUAGAACAAUACAAUUAAGUUUUACUCUUUGUUCGAUCGAAUGAGAAAAAGUACUCGUUGCAAAUUUAUAAUAUUAGGGCGCAGCUGAGUAGUCUAAUGUUGUUCCGGUUUUGGUUCUUGUGAAGGUUGACAUCGAUUCGUUCCAAAUUUACACUCUUGGGGCAUAAUAGAACAAUAUAAUUAGCUUUUACACUUUGUUCGAUCGAAUGGGAAAAAAGUACUCGUUACAAAGUUAUACUGUUAGGGCGCAACUGAGUAGUCUAUUGUUGUUCCAGCUUUGGUUCUUAUGAAGGUUGACAUCGAUUCAUUCCAAAUUUACACUCUCGCGGCAUAAUAGAACAAUAUAAUUAGCUUUUACACUUUGUUCGAUUGAAUGAGAAAAAGUACUAGUUGCAAAGUUAUAUUGUUGGGGUACAACAGAGUAGUCUAUUGUUGUUCCGGUUUUGGUUCUAGUGAAAGUUGACAUCGAUUCGUUCCAAAUUUACACUCUCGGGGCAUAAUGAAUAAAAUAAUUAGCUUUUACACUUUGUUCGAUUGAAUGAGAAAAAGUACUAGUUGCAAAGUUAUACUGUUGGGGCGCAACAGAGUAGUCUACUGUUGUUCCGGUUUUGGUUCUUGUUAAGGUUGACAUCGAUUCAUUCCAAAUUUACACUCUCGGGGCAUAAUAGGACAAUAUAAUUAGGUUUUACUCUUUGUUCGAUAGAAUGAGAAAAAGUACUCAUUGCAAAGUUCUACUGUUAGGGCGCAACUGAAUAGCGUUAUGUUGUUACGGUUUUGGUUCUUGUGAACGUUGACAUCGAUUCGUUCGAAAUUACAACUCUCGCGGCAUAAUUGAACAAUAUAAUUAGGUUUUACACUUUGUUCAAUAGAAUGAGAAAAAGUACUCGUCGCAAAGUUAUACUGUUGGGGCGCAACUAAGUAGUCUAAUGUUGUUCCGGUUUUGGUUCUUGUGAACGUUGACAUCGAUUCGUUCCAAAUUUACACUCUCGGGGCAAAAUAGGACAAUAUAAUUAAGUUUUACGCUUUGUUCGAUCGAAUGAGAAAAUGUACGCGUUGCAAAUUUAUACUGUUAGGGCGCAGCUGGGUAGUCUAAUGUUGUUCCGGUUUCGGUUCAUGUGAAGGUUGACAUCGAUUCGUUCCAAAUGUACACUCUUGGGGCAUAAUAGAACAAUAUAAUUAGCUUUUACACUUUGUUCAAUCGAAUGGAAAAAAAUACUCGUUGCAAAGUUAUACUGUUAGGGCGCAGCUUAGUAGUCUAAUGUUGUUCCGGUUUUGGUUCUUGUGAAGGUUGACAUCGAUUCGUUCUAAAUUUACACUCGCGGGGCAUAAUAGAACAAUAUAAUUAGCUUUUACACUUUGUUCGGUCGAAUGGGAAAAAGUACUCGUUGCAAAGUUAUACUGUUAGGGCGGAACUGAGUAGACUAUUGUUGUUCCGGUUUUGGUUCUUGUGAAGGUUGACAUCGAUUCGUUCCAAAUUUACACUCUUGGGGCAUAAUAGAACAAUAUAAUUAGUUUUUACACUUUGUUCGAUUGAUUAAGAAAAAGUACUAGUUGCAAAGUUAUACUGUUGGGGCGCAACAGAGUAGUCUAUUGUUGUUCCGGUUUUGAUUCUUGCUAAGGUUGACAUCGAUUCGUUCCAAAUUUACACUCUCGGGGCAUAAUAGAACAAUAUAAUUUGGUUUUACUCUUUGUUCGAUAGAAUAAGAAAAAGUAGUCAUUGCAAUGUUAUACUGUUAGGGCGCCACUGAAUAGUCUAAUAUUGUUCCGGUUUUGGUUCUUGUGAACGUUGACAUCGAUUCGUUCGAAAUUACAACUCUCGGGGCAUAAUUGAACAAUAUAAUUAGGUUUUACUCUUUGUUCGAUAGAAUGAGAAAAAGUACUCGUCGCAAAGUUAUACUGCUAGGGCGCAACUGAGUAGUCUAAUGUUGUUCCGAUUUUGGUUCUUGUGAACGUUGACAUCGAUUCGUUCCAAAUUUACACUCUCGGGGCACAAUUGAACAAUAUAAUUAGGUUUUACUCUUUGUUCGAUAAAAAGAGAAAAAGUACUCGUUGCAAAGUUAUACUGUUAGGGCGCAACAGAGUAGUCUAAUGUUGUUCCGGUUUUCGUUCUUGUGAACGGUGACAUCGAUUCGUUCCAAAUUUACACUCUCGGGNCUGGGAACUUGUUGUACACAAUCUCGUCGUUGUGCCUUGGGCGGACAGGGGAGGUACUGUCCGUACGGCGGUCCGCCGCCGUGCCCGAACCGAACCAAAUUGGUAUCGGCCUCGGGGCGGGGGCGUGACAGAAAAAUUACUAGUUGCAAAGUUAUACUGUUGGGGCGCAACAGAGUAGUCUAUUGUUGUUCCGGUUUUGGUUAUUGUUAAGGUUGACAUCGAUUCGUUUCAAAUUUACACUCUCGAGGCAUAAUAGAACAAUAUAAUUAGGUUUUACUCUUUGUUCGAUAGAAUGAGAAAAAGUACUCAUUGCAAAGUUAUACUGUUAGGGCGCAACCGAAUAGUCUAAUGUUGUUCCGGUUUUGGUUCUUGUGAACGCUGACAUCAAUUGGUUCGAAAUUACAACUCUCGGGGCAUAAUUGAACAAUAUAAAUUAGGUUUUACUCUUUGUUCGAUAGAAUGAGAAAAAGAACUCGUCGCAAAGUUAUACUGCUAGGGGGCAACUGAGUAGUCUAAUAUUGUUCCGGUUUUGGUUCUUGUGAACGUUGACAUCGAUUCGUUCCAAAUUUACACUCUCGGGGCAUAAUAGAACAAUACAAUUAAGUUUUACUCUUUGUUCGAUCGAAUGAGAAAAAGUACUCGUUGCAAAUUUAUAAUAUUAGGGCGCAGCUGAGUAGUCUAAUGUUGUUCCGGUUUUGGUUCUUGUGAAGGUUGACAUCGAUUCGUUCCAAAUUUACACUCUUGGGGCAUAAUAGAACAAUAUAAUUAGCUUUUACACUUUGUUCGAUCGAAUGGGAAAAAAGUACUCGUUACAAAGUUAUACUGUUAGGGCGCAACUGAGUAGUCUAUUGUUAUUCCAGUUUUGGUUCUUGUGAAGGUUGACAUCGAUUCGUUCCAAAUUUACACUCUCGGGGCAUAAUAGAACAAUAAAAUUAGCUUUUACACUUUGUUCGAUUGAAUAAGAAAAAGUACUAGUUGCAAAGUUAUAUUGUUGGGGUGCAACAGAGUAGUCUAUUGUUUUUCCGAUUUUGGUUCUGGUGAAGGUUGAUAUCGAUUCGUUCCAAAUUUACACUCUCGGGGCAUAAUGAAUAAAAUAAAUAGCUUUUACACUUUGUUCGAUUGAAUGAGAAAAAGUACUAGUUGCAAAGUUAUACUGUUGGGGCGCAACAGAGUAGUUUACUGUUGUUCCGAUUUUGGUUCUUGUUAAGGUUGACAUCGAUUCAUUCCAAAUUUACACUCUCGGGGCAUAAUAGAACAAUACAAUUAAGUUUUACUCUUUGUUCGAUCGAAUGAGAAAAAGUACUCGUUGCAAAAUUAUGCUGUUAGGGCGCAACUGAGUAGUCUAGUGUUGUUCCGAUUUUGGUUCUUGUGAAGAUUGACAUCGAUUCGUUCCAAAUUUACACUCUCGGGGCAUAAUAGAACAAUAUAAUUAGCUUUUACACUUUGUUCGAUUGAAUGAGAAAAAGUACUAGUUGCAAAGUUAUACUGUUGGGGCGCAACAGAGUAGUCUAUUGUUGUUCCGGUUUUGGUUCUUGUUAAGGUUGACAUCGAUUCGUUCCAAAUUUACACUCUCGGGGCAUAAUAGAACAAUAUAAUUAGGUUUUACUCUUUGUUCGAUCGAAUGAGAAAAAGUACUCGUUGCAAAGUUAUACUGUUAGGGCGCAACUGAGUAGUCUAAUGUUGUUCCGGUUUUGGUUCUUGUGAACGUUGACAUCGAUUCGUUCGAAUUUACACUCUCGCGGCAUAAUAGAACAAUAUAAUUAGGUUUUACACUUUGUUCGAUAGAAUGAGAAAAAGUACUCGUUGCAAAGUUAUACUGUUAGGGCGCAACUGAGUAGUCUAAUGUUGUUCCGGUUUUGGUUCUUGUGAACGUUGACAUCGAUUCGUUCCAAAUUUACACUCUCGGGGCAUAAUAGAACAAUAUAAUUAGGUUUUACGCUUUGUUCGAUUGAAUGAGAAAAAGUACUCGUUGCAAAGUUAUACUGUUAGGGCGCAACUGAGUAGUCUAAUGUUGUUCCGGUUUUGGUUCUUGUGAACGUUGACAUCGAUUCGUUCCAAAUUUACACUCUCGGGGCAUAAUAGAACAAUAUAAUUAGNNNNNNNNNNNNNNNNNNNNNNNNNAGAUCGAUUCGUUCCAAAUUUACACUCUCGGGGCAUAAUAGGAAGUUUUUACUUCUUGUUCGAUAGAAUAAGAAAAAGUACUCAUCGCAAAGUUAUACUGUUAUGGCGCAACUGAGUAGUCUAAUGUUGUUCCGGUUUUGGUUCUUGUCAACGUUGACAUCGAUUCGUUCUAAAUUUACACUCUCGACGCUUGAACAAUAUAAUUAGGUUUUACUCUUUAUUCGAUUGAAUGAGAAAAAGGACUAGUUGCAAUGUUAUACUGUUAGGGCUCAACUGAGUAGUCUAACGUUCUUCCGGUUUUGGUUCUUGUGAACGCUGACAUUGAUUCGUUCCGAAUUUACACCCUUGGGGCAUAAAAGAAAGCUUUUACUCCUUGUUCGAUGAUUGAGAAAAAGUACUCAUUGCAAAGUUAUACUGUUAUGGCGCAAUAGAGUAGUCUAAUGUUGUUCCGGUUUUGGUUCUUGUGAACAUUGACGUCAAUUAGUUCCAAAUUUACACUCUCGGGGCAUAAUAGAACAAUAUUAUUAUGUUUUACGCUUUAUUCGAUUGAACGAGAAAAAGUACUCGUCGCAAAGUUAUUCUAUUAGGCGCAACUGAGUAGUCUAAUGUAGUUCCGGUUAUGGUACUUGUGAACGUUGACAUCGAUUCGUUCCAAAUUUACACUCUCGGGGCAUAAUAGAAAGCUUUUACUCCUUGUUCAAUAGAAUUAGAAAAAGUACUCGUUGCAAAGUUAAACUGUUAAGGCACACAGAGUAGUCUAUUGUUGUUCCGAUUUUGGUUCUUGUCAACGUUGACAUCGAUUCGUUCCAAAUUUACACUCUUGGGGUAUAAUAGAACAAUAUAAUUAGGUUUUACUCUUUAGUCGAUUGAAUGAGAAAAAGUACUAGUUGCAAUGUAAUACUAUCAGGGCUCAACUGAGUAGUCUAACGUUGUUUCUGUUUUGGUUCUUGUGAACGUUGACAUCGAUUCGUUCAAAAUUUACACUCUCGGGGAAUAAUAAAAAGCUUUUACUCCUUACUCGAAACAAUGAGAAAAAGUACACGUUGCAAAGUUAUGCUAUUAUGGCGCAACAGAGUAGCCUAAUGUAGUUCCGGUUUUGGUUCUUGUCAACGUUGACAUCGAUUCGUUCCAAAUAUACACUCUCGGGGCAUAAUAGAACAAUAUCGUUUGGUUUUACUCUUUAUUCGAUUGAAUGAGAGAAAGUACUCGUUGCAAAGUUAUACUGUUAUGGCAAAACUGAGUAGUCAAAUUUAGUUCCUGUUUUGGUUCUUGUGAACUUUGACUUCGAUUCGUUCCAAAUUUAUACUCUCGAGGCAUAAUAGAACAAUAUUAUUAGUUUUGCUAUUUGUUCGAUUGAAUGAGAACAAGUUCUAGUUGCAAAGUUAUACUGUCAAGGCUCAACUGAGUAGUCAAACGUUGUUCCGGUUUUGGUUUUUGUGAACGUCAACAUCGUUACGUUGCAAAUUUACACUCUCGGGGCAUAAUAGAAAGCUUUUACACCUUGUUCGAUAGAAAGAGAAAAAGUACUCGUUGCAAAAUUAUAUUGUUAUGGCGCAACAGAGUAGUCUAAUGUUAUUUCAGGUUUGGUUCUUGUGAACAUUGACAUCGAUUCAUACCAAAUUUACACUCUCGGUGCAUAAUAGAACAACAUAAGUAGGUUUUGCUCUUUGUUCGAUUGAAUGAGAAAAAGUACUAGUUGCAAUCUUAUACUGUUAGGGCUCAACUGAGUUGUCUAACGUUGUUUCGGUUUUGGUUCUCGUGAACGUUGACAUCGAUUCNNNNNNNNNNNNNNNNNNNNNNNNNAUACUGUUAUGGCGCAACUGAGUAGUCUAAUGUUGUUCCAGUUUUGGUUCUUGUGAACGUUGACAUCGAUUCGUUCCAAAUUAAAACUCUCCGGUAAUAAUAGAACAAUAUAAUUAGGUUUUGCUCUUUGUUCGAUUGAAUGAGAAAAAAUACUAGUUGCAAAGUUAUACUGUUAGGGCUCAACUGAGUAGUCUAACGUUGUUCCGGUUUUAGUUCGUGCGAACGUUGACAUUGAUUCGCUCCAAAUUUACACUCUCGGGGCAUAAUAGAUAGCUUUUACUCCUUAUUCGAUAGAAUUAGAAAAAGUACUCGUUGCAAAGUUAAACUGUUAAGGCGCAACUGAGUAGUCUAGCGUUGUUCCAGUUUUGGUUCUUGUGAACGUUGACAUCGAUUCGUUCCAAAUUUACACUCUCGGGGUAUAAUAGAACAAUAUAAUUAGGUUUUACUCUUUGUUCAAUUGAAUAAGAAAAAGUACUGGUUGCAAUGUCAUACUGUUAGGGCUCAACUGAGUAGUCUAACGUUCUUCCGAUUUUGGUUCUCGUGAACGUUG
rnacentral:lncRNA from 1 species